GGGGAGGGGGAGGAGCUGUGAUUGGUGCCAGUCAAUGCAUUUCAAAGCUCCUUGAAGCUGCACUAAUUCCCUCAAGGAUCCCUCUUUUGCAAGCUGCAAAUCUGCUUUGCUCUCGAUUUGCAUUCGCCCUCACUGCACGGCAGAGCUAGCUGUGACCCUACCUGCACAGAGAGAAGAGAAGGGUGGCAGGCAGGCAGACAGAUAACGUGCUUCAGAUCCCCUGAUCAGCACGCUAUUGAAAUGGGCUGACGAUGCUGUUACCCGGAUGAAGGACUGCGACCUACAAGGGACGAGAGGAAACGAUUUGAAACUUUUGAAAUUCUCUUGCUAGAAUUGCUUUGACUAGGGAAAGAAUGCGCUCGCAAUGUUCUGUACAGGUUUAAAUAUAUAAACAGCUGAGACCCAAAAACAGGACUGGCUCUAGCCUCGGGUGCAGGAAUAGAAGAUUGAUUCAGAGUGAUUUAGGAAAAGCGUUUCCAGAAUCUGGAAUUUUGAUGACCAGCUGUGGAAAGGGGAGCCCCUGGAGAGAGCCCCUGGAGAGAAGCAGCCACGGAAGUACAGGCACUGACCAGAGAAGGCUUUUAAGACGAAGGGCAGUGUUACUAUGUUUUAAAAAUUGUUCUGCUUAAAAACAACGCCAUGGCAACAGCCUCUCCCAAGUUAUCGGGAUAAUUUUCCUUUGUUGAAAAUUCAAAAUUAACGACAGCAGCUGUUGUAAAAGCGAAAAGAGAAAGGGCAAGCAGUGGGAUGGCACGGAGUGAUUUGCACGGGCACGCACACGGGGGAUGUGAGCAGGACACCGCUGCAGGGACGCUUUGAAGACGCGGGAGGCCUGGGUACAGCGAUGCUGGGGCUGUUUGCGAAGAGGGAAGGCGCGAAUGCAGGUCAAAGCCAGUGUUUGAAACAGAAAGGGACAGCCUUGGAACCCUGGCAGGGCUGCUAUCACCAGAAGGAGAAGCCGUAACCAUGGCAACCCCUUGGGGCCUAGCUGGGAUCAAAGCCUUCUGUCAAGUGAUCCCCGGAGACCGCUUCUGAAGAUGUUUACAGCUGCUUUUCUGUCAUAAACAGCUCGGCAGACAUCUGGUUGAAAUGCAGUACUGUGCCUGACGGUUUUGUUCUUGUAUCUCUUUCAGAAGGCGUUUCAUAUCUACUGCUAUUGGACAGCAACGUCAACAACACGCCUCUGUGAAUAUUAGAAGCCAUUUUCCAUAUUAAAAACCAAUUUAAUUAAUUGCAGAGAGACUGGAAGGGGGAAGCAGUUUGGCCUGUUGAUUAGAGCUGAGACUGGGAGGGAAGCAGUGUGGCUUAGCGGUGAGAGAUGUGUGCCAGGUAAUGCCCUGCGCUGAGUGAAGUAAGGAGGAAUAGACAACACAUUUUAGAGAGGGGCGAGUUCCCAAUUAGUAAAACCCCAGAAUGACGUCUUGAGUGCUUCCAGGUGGAGGCGUCCUCUUGCUGAACUGGCAGAAAUCCUGUCCUGUUUAUUUAGAGGCACGAGUGUGUCGCGGAUGUCUGUUGCCACGUAAACGCUUUGCUACAGAGGAGGGGGGGGAGAGUAAGCAGUGAGUAAGUCCUAACUAAGCAAAUUUGUUCAGUUAAGGGUCUCGUUAAGCAGAUGGGAAAUAAGACUCCCUUUUGCAUAGCGGUUUGAGCCAUUCCAGGUUUUACUAAGAGCUCAAUAAGAUACACACAAGCGUGUUGCCUAUACACUGUGACUGAUCAAGCUCCUAGUAAAACCUGGAAUGGGUGAAACUGCUAUGCAACAGGAGUCUUAUUCCCAUCCUUGUAUUGGGCUGGGAAGCACUGCUCUAAUUGUUGGAGGUGAGGGGCAGAGAAGGUGCUACUGUGGUUAGAGCUGAGAGACUGGGAGAGGGCACUGUGGUCCAGCAGAGACAGGGAGAUAAUUUACUUUUUUUUUUUUCUCCACUUAUGUUUCCUUUUUAAAAUGAAAGUUCAAUUAAAUAGCACUGGCUCUCUGCAGUUCAUUAUUGGUCUUGCCCUUUGUUCCUCUAUUGGUAACAAAUACGCGUUGAGCAGCAAUCUCUCUAGUGAACACUAGGUGGUAGUGUUGAGCGUGAAGUUACAUCCUUGCUUCAACUUUGCGCUGGGAAUGAAGGUAGCGUUUUGGGUAGGCGUAUUGAAAUCCAUACUGUGGGAGACUAGCUUGCUUGGACAGGGUGACGUGAUGCUCUGCACCAGCUGUUGUUUCAUUGAAUUUUGAAAUCGGAGCCUCUCGUGUAUAUUCUAUCGCAAGAAGUGGUGAGUUUUGAGUUGGAUUUUUAGACUGCAUUGUUACAAGCUGCAUUGUUUCACACUUGUUAUUAGUAACGUUUUCCAAUGCGUAUAUUAGGUAUAGCAGAUAUGCACCUGCAUGUUUAAAUUUUAUUUGAAGGCUUUUAUGAAGUCGACACAUUUUUCUUGCUUAAAAAUAAUAAUAAUAUUAAUAAUAAUAAUAAUCAAUGCAUGCCAAGUGUUUUUUGGAAUCUAAUCCUUGCCCUGGCAGUGAAACUUUGUGGCAUCUCCCUUGCUGAUUGGAUGUUGUGGUUUAGUUGACGGCUGGACUCUUGCCAGACCACAGUCACUGUGACACAGGAAGGCUCCACUUACAGCUGAGCUCUGCUUCCUCUUCAGUUCACAGAAGCAGGUAUAUUUAUACGACCCUAAAAAAAAAAAAGAAAUUACUUCAAGUAAUGAACCGUACCCCUGUAUCAAUAGCUGUGACCACUGAGAUGCUCCAACCACUGCCUUCCACACUGCAGCCCAGCACACUAACCACUGAGCAACUCAAACCCACUGCCUUCCACACUGCAGC